rnacentral:rRNA from 1 species
UGCCCAGACUCCUACGGGAGGCAGCAGUGGGGCCUCUUGCACAAUGGGGGCAACCCUGCUGCCGCGACGCCGCGUGCGUGAAGAAGUCUUUCGGUCUGUACCGCUCUAUCAGCAGGGCCGCAAAUGACGGUACCUGAUUAAGAAGCCCCGGCUAACUACGUGCCAGCAGCCGCGGUAAUACGUAGGGGGCAAGCGUUAUCCGGAUUUACUGGGUGUAAAGGGAGCGUAGACGGCAGCGCAAGUCUGAAGUGAAAUGCCGGGGCUUAACCCCGGAACUGCUUUGGAAACUGUGCAGCUAGAGUGCAGGAGAGGUAAGUGGAAUUCCUAGUGUAGCGGUGAAAUGCGGAGAUAUUAGGAGGAACACCAGUGGCGAAGGCGGCUUACUGGACUGUAACUGACGUUGAGGCUCGAAAGCGUGGGGAGCAAACAGGAUUAGAUACCCCCGUACU